CAAUAGUAUAUUAUUCUUCUAACACGCCGGCCUUGUAAACCGGAAAAGGGACCCCGCCCUUGCAACU
rnacentral:tRNA from 5 species